ensembl:lncRNA
CUAGAUACCUUCCAUUUUUCAUAGAACUCAGCCCUUAAUCCCUGAAAACAGGCUGCAAAAAUUGACUCUGUUGAUUAGUUCUUGUCAGGUGUUUUUCCCCACUUUUCAAUUUGCUUCACAAGGACCUCCUCAUAUCACUCUUUCUUGAUGUUGAAAAAUGGACAGGAUCUUGACACUGCACAUUCCCUAGUCAUCAUGUCACAGUGGCCUGGAGUGAUCCAAAGUUUGCUGUGGACGAGUAUGUGGGAAUGCUACCUGUCUCUGGUGUUGAAGAGUGGAUAACUGCUCUGUUUCCUUCAUUUUCUAUCCAACGGCUCACAUGGGUGAAAAACACCUCCCUUCUCUCAGGUGGGAGCCAUCAAGUUGAGGUUUAAGUUUGAUUCAACUCAAUGAGAAUGGUGGUUCUUUAAAAGGAUGCAGAGAAAUCUCACAGAGCUCAAGGACAAGAUGUGAAGCUGGGCUUAAUGGGAACCAGGAAGCAAUCAAGAAAGGAGACUCUCUUUUUCUUUUUUUGGAGCUGCAUAGAUGAUCUCUUUUUGUCUUCUCUGUAAAUUUCUGGUUCUCUCCACCCAUUGCCGUCCUUUGCUGAUCUUCAUCAAGAUCCAAAGUGGCCAUCAGAUCUACACAGCAAUCCUUCGGUUCCUAUAGCUGCCACUCAUUGGCUGGAAAACGUGUCGUUUAGUUCAAAAGCCUUAAGUUAGAAAAAUCUCAGAGGGUAAUGUCCAGUCAGUGGAUUAGGUAGGCUUGAGCCAGUGUCCAUCUCUGGGCAAUCAGCCAUGAUCAGGGCCAGCAGAGUCAUACAGUGGGUGCAGCUGCCUGUGUGUUAGGCUAUGGGAAAGUUCAUGUUCUGAGUUGGGCAUGCAACAGAUCUGAAUACAGGAAGUUCCCAGGAUGCCAUGGUUUCCAGACUUCUGUGAUGCUGAAAUUGAGGAAGAUUAGCCCUGAGCUAACAUCUGCUGCCAAUCCUCCUUUUUUUGCUGAGGAAGACUGACCCUGAGCUAACAUCCAUGCCCAUCUUCCUCUACUUUAUACAUGGGACGCCUGCUACAACAUGGCUUGCCAAGCAGUGCCAUGUCUGCACCCAGGAUCUGAAUGCUCGAACCCCGGGUCGCCGAAGCAGAACAUGAAAACUUAACUGAUGCACCACCGGGCCAGCCCCUAAAUGAACUUAACUUUAAAUUGACAUAUCAAUAAAUUGCUUUGAUUAUUCGAAUCGCAGCGAUACUGAGAAACACAGAUAAGAGAGAGAUUCCUUGAAUGAACUAAAUAUAGAUU